rnacentral:rRNA from 1 species
AAUCUGCCUUUGAGCGGGGGACAACAUUUGGAAACGAAUGCUAAUACCGCAUAAAAACUUUAAACACAAGUUUUAAGUUUGAAAGAUGCAAUUGCAUCACUCAAAGAUGAUCCCGCGUUGUAUUAGCUAGUUGGUGAGGUAAAGGCUCACCAAGGCGAUGAUACAUAGCCGACCUGAGAGGGUGAUCGGCCACAUUGGGACUGA